rnacentral:sRNA from 1 species
UACAACAGUAUAGGCUUGCAAGGGCGGUCGGCUAAUCUCCCCGAAGGGAGGUGAUGCCCAUGACAGUAUUCGAGGGACUUAUACUUAUGAUAACGUUCGGUUCGCUGAUCGUAUCGGUACUGUCCUUUAAACGAAAAUAGACCGCCCCUCACCAAGGAAUCGGUCUAUUUCCUGACUAUUUUCCAAGCCUACCGCCCUUAAAAGCGGCUGUUGUAAGGAGUCGUGUUGGUAGCACGGCUC